GUGCCAGUAGCUCAGCUGGAUAGAGCAUCGGCCUUCUAAGCCGAGGGUCGUGGGUUCGAGUCCCGCCUGGCGCGCCA
rnacentral:tRNA from 3 species